UACGUAGGGGGCAAGCGUUGUCCGGAAUCACUGGGCGUAAAGCGCACGCAGGUGGCUGAGUCAGUCGAUUGUGAAAGCCCUGGGCUUAACCUGGGAAUUGCAGUCGAUACUACUCGGCUCGAGUAUGGGAGAGGGCAGUGGAAUUCCCGGUGUAGCGGUGAAAUGCGUAGAUAUCGGGAGGAACAUCAGUGGCGAAGGCGGCUGCCUGGCCCAAUACUGACGCUGAGGCACGAAAGCGUGGGGAGCAAACAGG
rnacentral:rRNA from 1 species